UUUAGUGGCGGACGGGUGAGUAACACGUGAGCAACCUGCCUUCGAGAGGGGAAUAACGGCUGGAAACGGUCGCUAAUACCGCAUAACAUACCGGGAGGACAUCCUGCUGGUAUCAAAGAUUUUAUCGCUCGAAGAUGGGCUCGCGUCCGAUUAGGUAGUUGGUGAGGUAACGGCUCACCAAGCCGACGAUCGGUAGCCGGACUGAGAGGUUGAACGGCCACAUUGGGACUGAGACACGGCCCAAACUCCUACGGAAGGCAGCAG
rnacentral:rRNA from 1 species